GACCACUUCUCAGUUCUUAUGCUUCCUGGCUAAUGUUUUGGUCACUUUUGAAUGCUGGCGGUGCUUUCACUCUAGUGGUAGCAUGAGACGGAGUCUACAACCCACACAAGUGGCUCAGGUAGUGCAGCUCAUCCAGGAUGGCACAUCAAUGCGAGCUGUGGCAAGAAGGUUUGCUGUGUCUCUCAGCAUAGUGUCCAGAGCAUGGAGGCGCUACCAGGAGACAGGCCAGUACAUCAGGAGACGUGGAGGAG